AUGGCAACCAAGACUAAGGCACCAGCUGGUACUCCAGUCGGCCCCAUCCCUUUCGCGGACGUCGAGAUCAACCCAGGCUUGGUCUCCUCUGUGGUGGAGCAUCUCCCAGCAGAGCACGCCGCCCUUCCGAGCCCGUCCGUGUUCAAUGGCCUGAUGAACCUCCGUUGCUACCAGGGCUUCUGGCUGCCGGAUUUCUACACCGUCGCGGCUGUCGCCCUGCAGCGUCGCUUUGAGCCGUGCACCGACGACGUCAUCUUUGCAAUCUUUCCCAAGUCUGGCACCACGUGGCUUAACUCCCUGGCGUUCGCCACCAUGGCCCGCCGCGCUUACCAGGCCGUCGAUGCCGGGCACCCGCUGCUACGCCUCAACCCGCACCAAUGCACGCCUUUCUUGGAGAACCUCUUUCGGAGCCGCGCGGAGGCCGUCAAGCUCGAGGCGCUGCCAUCCCCGCGCCUCAUGAACACGCACAUGCCGAUCGACAUGAUAAUGCCGGGGGCCGGCGGGUGCAAGGUCGUCUAUGUGUGCAAGGAGCCCAAGGACAUGGUCGUCUCGACGUGGCACUUCAUGCGGCGGCUGCAGCCCGACCUAGCGCUGGCCGACGUCCUCGACUCCUUCUGAAGCGGUGCGCUGCCGUAUGGAUCCGUCUGCGACCAUAACCUCAGCUACUGGCAUGCCAGCAUGGCGAGGCCGGACGUCGUGUUGUUCCUGUGGUACGAGGAGCUGCUACGCGACCCCGCCCAGAAUGUCAGGGAACUAGCGCAGUUCGUCAGGCUGCCAUUUUCCGACGAGGACGAGGACGCCGAUGUCGUCCAGGACAUCAUCAAGCUCUGCAGCUUCGGGCACCUGAAGCCCUUGGAAGCUAACUCGACAGGCUAGUUGGAUCCCCUGCUCCCGGUCCCGCGCGAGGCGUUGUUCAGGAAGGGUGUGGCCGGCGACUGGAUGAACCGCAAUUCUUGUACUUCCGUAAUCACUAAGGAGGAAUAG
rnacentral:rRNA from 1 species